CUGCUAAGUCGCAAGACGAUGUAUCGGAGCUGACGCCUGCCCUGUGCUGGCCGGUUUAGGGCAUCUGUUAGAGCAAUCGAAGCAGUGAACUUAAGCCCCAGUAAACGGCGGCCGUAACUAUAACGGUCCUAAGGUAGCGAAAUUCCUUGUCGGGUAAGUUCCGACCCGCACGAAAGGCGUAACGAUUUGGGCACUGUCUCAACAACAGACUCGGUGAAAUUGUAAUUCCGGUGAAGAUGCCGGAUACCUGCGACAGGACGGAAAGACCCCAUGGAGCUUUACUGUAGCUUGACAUUGGGUCUUGGUACUACAUGUACAGGAUAGGUGGGAGGCUUUGAAACCAGGACGCCAGUUUUGGCGGAGCCAUCCUUGGGAUACCACCCUUGUAGUACUGGGACUCUAACCAUAGGCCAUGAAUCUGGUCUUGGGACACUGUCAGGUGGGCAGUUUGACUGGGGCGGUCGCCUCCCAAAAGGUAACGGAGGCGCUCAAAGGUUCUCUCAGUACGGUCGGAAAUCGUACGUAGAGUGUAAAGGCAAAAGAGAGCUUGAUUGCAAGACAUACAGGUCGAGCAAGGAUGAAAAUCGGACUUAGUGAUCCGGUGGUUCUGCGUGGAAGGGCCAUCGCUCAACGGAUAAAAGCUACCCUGGGGAUAACAGGCUUAUCUCCCCCAAGAGUCCACAUCGACGGGGAGGUUUUGCACCUCGAUGGCGGCUGAGCACAUCCUGGGGCUUUAGUAGGUCCCAAGGGUUGGGCUGUUCGCCCAUUAAAGUGGUACGCGAGCUGGGUUCAGAACGUCGUGAGACAGUUCGGUCCCUAUCCGUCGCAGGCGUAGGAAAUUUGAGAAGACCUGUCCUUAGUACGAGAGGACCGGGAUGGACGUACCUCUGGUGUACCAGUUGUCCUGCCAAGGGCAUGGCUGGGUAGCUAUGUACGGAAUGGAUAAGCGCUGAAAGCAUCUAAGCGCGAAGCCAACUUCAAGAUAAGAUUUCCCACCGCAAGGGUAAGACCCCAGAAAGACUAUCUGGUUGAUAGGUCGAAGGUGUAAGUGUAGCAAUGUAUUUAGCUUAUCGAUACUAAUAGGUCGAGGACUUGACCAAU
rnacentral:rRNA from 1 species